GAAAGUCUUUGAUUCAUAUCUUUGUGGCUUUGUUGAUAAAACCACAAAGAUGGGGAGAAACCAGAGCAGAAAGACAGAAAAUUUCAAAAACCAGAACUCCUCUUCUCCUACAAAGGAACACAACUCCUCACUAGCAAGGGAACAAAACUGGAAGGAGAAUGAGUUUAACGAGCUGACAGAAGUAGGAUUCAGAAAGUCGGUUAUAACAAACUUCCCUGAGCUAAAGGAGCAUGUUCUAACCCAUCGGAAGGAAGCUAAAAACCUUGAAAAAAGGUUAGAUUAAUGGCUACCUAGAGUAACCAGUGUAGAGAAGGGUUUAAAUGACCUGAUGACCUGAUGGAGUGGAAAACCACAGUACGAGAACUUUGUGAAGUAUACACAAGCUUCAGUAGAUGAUUCGAUCAAACAGAAGAAAGGAUAUCAGUGAUUGAAGAACAAAUUAAUGAAAUAAAGUGAGAAGACAAGACUAGAGAAAAAAGUGUGAAAAGAAAUGAACAAAGCCUCCAAGAACUAUGGAACUAUGUGAAAAGACCAAAUCUACAUUUGGCUGGUGUACCUGAAAGUGAUGGGGAGAAUGGAAUCAAGUUAGAAAAUAUUCUUCAGGAUAUUAUCCAGGAGAACUUCCCCAACCUAGCAAGGAAGGCCAACAUUCAAAUUCAGGAAUACAGAAUUUUUAAUUUAUAUUUAUUGUCCAUAUGUAUUAUUUCUUUUUUCAUAAUUGCCUGUUAAUGAUUUAUUUGCACUUUUUAAUAAGGUUGUUUGUUAUUUGCUUGUUAAUUUAUGUUCCUUGUAGAUCCUUGACAUUAGACCUUUGUCAAAUGCAUAGUUUGUGAAGAUUUUCUCUCAAUCUGUAGAUUGUUUACCCUGUUUAUAGUUUCUUUUGCUGUACAUAAACUCUUCAGUUUAAUUAAGUCCCACUUGUCCAUUUUUUGUUUUUCUUGUAAUUGAGUUUUGGGUCUUUGUCCUAAAUUCUUAUCCAAGGCUAAUGUCCAAAAUAGAAUUUUCUUGGUUUACUUCUAGGAUUUAUAGUUUCAGGUCUUACAUUCAAGUUUUCAAUUCAUCUUGAGUUGAUUUUUGUAUAUGGCAAAAGGAAGGGAUUCAGAUUAAAUCUUCUGCAUAAGGCUAUCUAAUUAUCCCAAUACCACUUACUGAAUGCAGUGUCCUUUCCCCAUUGCUUGUUUUUUAAAACUUUGUCAAAGAUCAGAUGGUUGCAGGUGUGCAAGUUUAUUUCUGAGUU
rnacentral:lncRNA from 1 species